UACAGAGGGUGCAAGCGUUAAUCGGAAUUACUGGGCGUAAAGCGCGCGUAGGCGGCUGAUUAAGUCGGGUGUGAAAUCCCCGGGCUCAACCUGGGAAUUGCGAUGGAGACUGCAAGGCUAGAAUCUGGCAGAGGGGGAGUAGAAUUCCACGUGUAGCAGUGAAAUGCGUAGAGAUGUGGAGGAAUACCGAUGGCGAAGGCAGCCUCCUGGGCCAACACUGACGCUCAUGCACGAAAGCGUGGGGAGCAAACAGG
rnacentral:rRNA from 1 species